UCGUGACGCGGGACCUUUGAUCUUCACUGCAUCACAUGAGCUUGCCCUUGCAGUCUGUGAACUCUUAAUGCGGCGUGUGGGAUCUCGUUCCCUGACCGGGGAUUGAACCCAGGCCCCCUGCAUUGGGAGCGUGGAGUCGUAGCCACCGGGCCACCAAGGAAGUCCCCGUGUCGCUCUUUAACUUGUCGCGGAACCUGGUUUUUUGUUGGCUCGACAGGCAGCAGAACUGCAAAAAGCCCCAACAUGCUAUUUUGGGAAAACCAAGUAAUUCUGCAGUCCUGAGUAUUCUAAGAUCCAGACGUGCCUUUCCAUCUGGCGAUUUUUAAAAAAGGUUUGGGCUUCCAGUUUAAGACGGCAGCGUGGAAGCACGUGGACCCUCCCCUCCUGUGAGAGCACCAACGCUGCAGCCAGCUGCUGAAGAACCGUCGACAAGAGAAUGCCGGAACCCACCCACAGCAGACACCCCACACCCAGGACGCAGCAAGGCAGUAGGAGAGGUGUGAUAAAAUCAAAUCCCUGUGGAGGCAUGGGUCGGCAGGGGCCCCCAAAGGGGCAGGACGCUGGCAGCAGCAGUCCUGGAUGAUCCUCCUUGGCGUAAGUCCUCUGGAGGUCAACGUUAACCCUACCGUAGAGGCUCUAGACCCUAGGGCUGGUUCAAACAACUAGGGUUUGAGCCAUCAGCAGAUAAUUGGGUUAAAGCUUUACUGACCAAGGCCCUGCCCACCAGAGCAAGACCCAGUUUUUCCCAUCAGGAAGCUCUUAGCCUCUUGGCCUCCUCCAUCAGAGGGCAGACAGAAGAAGCAAGAAGAAGUACAAUCCCACAGUGGCUAAAAUAAAACCACAUUAGAGAGCAUUCUUUACGAUGCAAAAGCAGACAGUCACGUACCAGAUGAAGGGACAAGGUAAAACCCCCCAAAACAACUAAAUGAAGUGGAGAUAAGCAACCUUCCAGAAAAAGAAUUCAGAACAACGAUAGCGAAGGAUCUGGGGAAAACAAUGGAGAAGAUGCAAGAAAUGUGUACCAAAAGCUUAGGAGAACUAAAGAACAAACGAACAGAGAUGAAUAGUACACUAGAAGGAAUCAGCAGCAGAAUAACGGAGGCCAGAGAACAGAUCAGUGACCCGGAGGACAGAGCGGUGGAAAUCCCUGCCACAGAGCGAAAUACAGAAAAAAGAACAAAAAGAAAUGAAAGCAGCCUAAGACCAAGAGAGACCUCUGGGCCAACAUUAAAUGCACUGGUAUUCACAAAAGGGUCUCAGAGGAGAAGAAGGAAGGACCUGAGGAAAUCUUUGAAGAGGUAAGAGCUGAAAACGUCCCUAACGUCGGAAAGGAAAUAGUCACCCAAGUCCAGGAAGCAGAGAGAGCCCCACGCAGGAUAAACCCAAGGAGGAACACACCGAGACCCACAGUAAUCAAAGUGACAAAAAUUAAAGACAAAGGAAAUAAAACUAAAAGCAACAAAGCGAAACGGACCGAUGACAUACAAGGGAACUCCCGUCAGGCCAUCAGCUGAUUCCUCAACAGAAACUCUACAAGUCAGAAGGAAACGGCAUGAUAGAUCUAAAGUGAUGAAAGGGAAAAACCUGCAAUCAAGAAUACUCAACCCAGCAAGACUCUUUCAGAUUCAAUGGAGAAAUCAAAAAACUUUCCAGACAAGCAAAAGUUAAAAGAAUUCAGCACCACCAAACCAGCUUUACAACAAAUACUAAAGGAACUUCUCUAGGCAGGAAACACAAGAGAAGGAAAAGACCUACAGAAAAAACCCA
ensembl:lncRNA